rnacentral:rRNA from 1 species
GAUGCAGCGAUGCCGCGUGAGUGAAGAAGGCCCUUGGGUUGUAAAGCUCUUUCGUCGGGGAAGAAAAUGACUGUACCCGAAUAAGAAGGUCCGGCUAACUUCGUGCCAGCAGCCGCGGUAAUACGAAGGGACCUAGCGUAGUUCGGAAUUACUGGGCUUAAAGAGUUCGUAGGUGGUUAAAAAAGUUGGUGGUGAAAUCCCAGAGCUUAACUCUGGAACUGCCAUCAAAACUUUUUAGCUAGAGUAUGAUAGAGGAAAGCAGAAUUUCUAGUGUAGAGGUGAAAUUCGUAGAUAUUAGAAAGAAUACCAAUUGCGAAGGCAGCUUUCUGGAUCAUUACUGACACUGAGGAACGAAAGCAUGGGUAGCGAAGAGGAUUAGAUACCCUCGUAGUCCAUGCCGUAAACGAUGUGUGUUAGACGUUGGAAAUUUAUUUUCAGUGUCGCAGCGAAAGCGAUAAACACACCGCCUGGGGAGUACGAC